ACAGGUCACUCUUUAUCCACAAUAUAGCAGGGGGUGUAAAGCCAUAACACCCUCUGUGUUCUGUUAGACAGGUAACUCUUUAUCCACAUUAUAGCAGGGGGUGUAAAGCCAUAACACCCUCUGUGUUCUGUUAGACAGGUAACUCUUUAUCCACAUUAUAGCAGGGGGUGUAAAGCCAUAACACCCUCUGUGUUCUGUUAGACAGGUAACUCUUUAUCCACAUUAUAGCAGGGGGUGUAAAGCCAUAACACCCUCUGUGUUCUGUUAGACAGGUAACUCUUUAUCCACAUUAUAGCAGGGGGUGUAAAGCCAUAACACCCUCUGUGUUCUGUUAGACAGGUAACUCUUUAUCCACAUUAUAGCAGGGGGUGUAAAGCCAUAACACCCUCUGUGUUCUGUUAGACAGGUAACUCUUUAUCCACAUUAUAGCAGGGGGUGUAAAGCCAUAACACCCUCUGUGUUCUGUUAGACAGGUAACUCUUUAUCCACAUUAUAGCAGGGGGUGUAAAGCCAUA